UACGUAGGGUGCGAGCGUUGUCCGGAAUUAUUGGGCGUAAAGGGCUCGUAGGCGGUCUGUUGCGUCGGGAGUGAAAACUCAGGGCUUAACCCCGAGCCUGCAGUGGAUACGGGCAGACUAGAGGUAGGUAGGGGAGAAUGGAAUUCCCGGUGUAGCGGUGAAAUGCGCAGAUAUCGGGAGGAACACCAGUGGCGAAGGCGGCUCACUGGCCCGGUACUGACGCUGAGGUGCGAAAGCGUGGGGAGCAAACAGGG
rnacentral:rRNA from 1 species